rnacentral:lncRNA from 1 species
GAGGAGGAAGCUUUAACUUGAAACAAAUUGCCUAAAAACAUACCUCAGUACAAAGCUCUACGUUAGAUCCCCAACAGAGGGAAAAGCCUGUACGCCAAAGAAAGCAGAAUAAUAAAAAAAAUUUCUUAAACAUCGCAGCAGCUGUGGUUUGAGCUUGCCAUUUCUUGGGCAAGAGGAUGCUGAGCUGAACCGGAUACUUGCAGAAGUAACACAGCAGGACACCUACUCCAGGGACUCGAGCUUCCCAAAAUGAAAUCACCAGGGAGUUGGUAGUAUCUGGGUUAGACACCAGCUUCAUCAAGAAUUUGCCUUUUCUUAGCCUUAGUUUCCCCACAACGAUAAAAUAUAACUGAUACUAUCUUCCGGCUCUUGGGGUUGCUGAAAGGAUAAAACGGCGUAACGAAGCUGCUACUGAACACAAAGCUUGACACUGAGAAACGUAUUGGUUGGCAAAAGGACUACAACAGCACACCCGACGUACCCGGGCUGCUCCAACACACCCACUUCCUGGCGCCCCUUCACCUCAAACUCCCUCAGCCUAACGCGGAUCCUUCCGCGCCGGGUCACUUCCGGGAGACAAAGGACGCAGAAUACCCGGAUGCAACUGUCAUGGCUGCUCCCAGUGAAGAGUCCCGCCUCCAGUGAAGAGUCCCGCCUCCCGACCCCCGGGGAGAUCGAGUCUGGGAUUUCCCAGAUGGCGCUCUGAGCGUGGGCUUCAAGAAAGGGGAUCCAGACCUGAAGGCUGAGACUUCCGGGCGGCAGGGUGCCCACAAACAGUUCCAGGAACUGUACACGCUUCCUACUAACUUGCCAGUCUGUAGCUGGGCUGGCAGUGCGACAGUAUCCUGGGAGGAAGGGAAGGCCAAAGGCUCCAACGGAGAGAGAUUUUCACUUAAACUCCCAGAAUUGAAGAGCCGACCUAAAAAAAGCUUAAAGGAGAGGGGAGUGUGGGCCUUUACCUCCUUUUCUGAACAUCUCAUUAUUUGA